AUCUAGCUGACAAAUCCAAAAUAGGACGAAACGCUCAUCAAACUGGAU
rnacentral:hammerhead_ribozyme from 1 species